ACAUAUAAAUCACUAAUCGUCAUUGACCUGACGCAUACUAGUGACUACUACUUUUUUUUUAUGUUAACUAAAUACAAAAAGAAACAAAAAAGUUUGAAGGCAAUAAUGCGAUGGUAAUACUAGGGGUGGACACUUUACCCGAUAUCCGAAGUGGCACCCGAACCCGAUCCGAAAAACCCGAACCGAAAUCCGAACCGAAGUAGCAAAAUACCCGAACGGGUAUUGAAUAAGGAGAGAUUGGAUACCCGAACCCGAACGGAUAAUACCCGAACCCGAAUGGAUAUCCGAAGAUAACCGAACAUAUGUAUAAUUAACCAUAUAUUUCUAGUUUAUAUCUCUCAUUUUAUAUAAAAUAUUUAUAUUGAUACUACACAUACUUUAAGUUCAUUUGAUAUACAUACAAUUACGGAAAAAUGAUUUGUUAAUCACUUAAAAUGCAUGUCAAGUUUUUUAUUUCAAAAAUUAACAAAAACUUACAUAAAAAAAAACUAAAUUAAUGUCUUUUUAGUUUUAAAAUGUUAUGUCCAAAUCUAUUAACCAUUCAAUCUAUUAAAAAUAGAAAAUUAGUUAACUAAAAAUUAUAUUUUUAAAUACAACAAACUUGAGAAAUGAAAAUUUUAAUUUUUUUUUUCAAAAUCUAAAUAUCCGAACCCGAUCCGAAUUAACCGAAUCCGAACUAAAAAUACCCGAACCCGACCCGAAGUACAGAAAUACCCGAACGGGUUCUAGACCUCUAUACCGAAAUACCCAAAAAUCCGAAAUACCCGACCCGAAUCCGAACGGGUACCCGAACGCCCACCCCUAGGUAAUACUAUAUAGUUUUAUUAGUGUUACUGUUAGUAUAUGAGAAUAACAUUAUAAAAGAAGAAUAAAAAAUCUAACUUAUAUAUUUAGAGGAAACAGAGUAAUAUACUAAGCUGGUCUAGGGAAGAAGAAGAUGAAAGAAAAAACAAAGGUGGGUGGGUGUCUGUUCAAUUGCUUAAUUGAAGGAUUAAAUGACUUAACAACCAGUUGGUGAGUCCCUCC
rnacentral:lncRNA from 1 species